rnacentral:antisense_RNA from 1 species
CUUGAUCGAGCCGACCCAGAGCGGCUGCUCGCCCCGGUCGCGGCCGUACGUCGCGAUGAGCGACCGGGCCUC